rnacentral:rRNA from 1 species
GUGGGGAAUAUUGGACAAUGGGCGAAAGCCUGAUCCAGCCAUGCCGCGUGUGUGAAGAAGGUCUUCGGAUUGUAAAGCACUUUAAGUUGGGAGGAAGGGCAAUAAGUUAAUACCUUGCUGUUUUGACGUUACCGACAGAAUAAGCACCGGCUAACUUCGUGCCAGCAGCCGCGGUAAUACGAAGGGUGCAAGCGUUAAUCGGAAUUACUGGGCGUAAAGCGCGCGUAGGUGGUUUUGUAAGUUGGAGGUGAAAUCCCCGGGCUCAACCUGGGAACUGCCUCCAAAACUGCAUGACUAGAGUACGGUAGAGGGUAGUGGAAUUUCCUGUGUAGCGGUGAAAUGCGUAGAUAUAGGAAGGAACACCAGUGGCGAAGGCGACUACCUGGACUGAUACUGACACUGAGGUGCGAAAGCGUGGGGAGCAAACAGGAUUAGAUACCCUAGUAGUCC